GAUUUAUCCAAAAUAAUAAUAAUCCCCUCUCUCUCUCUCUCUCCACGUUGGCUUUGGGAAUCGCAAAGGCAAAGCAGAAGGUGUCGUGUCGUCUGCCAUUCUCUGGCAACAAUUUAUCGCAGAAGCUUGUGUUAAAUUAAAUGGAAGAACUCAGAACCUAAAGCAUUUCUCCCGGACGCAAAAGCGCUUUUUUUUGCCCUUUCAUUGGAGAGUUUCGGAUCGUGUAACCGAGAGGUUGGGGGGGAUUUCUUAGUGCAUAUGGCUGAUUCAUCGAAGGAAGAGCUGUUGCAGCUGAUCAAGCGGUUCAGCGCUUACAUAACCGUCAAGAUUUCCCAUCUCUUCCCGACCUCAUUCCAUAACCUGGUUUCACUCAUUCUCUUAUUGCUUUACUUCCGCUCUAUUUCUGUACUUUUCUUUCUUGAUCUGAAAGGGCUUUGAUUCUCAAUUCCUUUUUGUUUUUUUAAUUUACUAGGUCAUAAUUUCGUCUAAUUUUGAAUUUCUGCAAUUUUUUUUUAGAAUUUUGUGUAUAUUGCUUUAGUGUUAGAAUUUUUAGAUUUUUUUUUAGUAAAAUUCGUGAUAUUUAGGCAGGGAUCAUUAGUCUUAGCGAUUUUUGUGCUAGUAGUUGUUUAGUCAGUUGAAGCUUUUUUUUCAUUGUUUUGGUGGUUUUUAUUUUACGCAAGGCCACAUUUGCUUGACUGGUGCUUGAAUUCAAUAGGGUAUGGGAAUUUUUAUACAAGUUAAGGUGAACUUCUUGUAGUUAGUGCUUGGAGCAGCAAUUAUGCUGAUUUAAAUGGAAAAUAUUACAUGUUUUAAGCUCCCAUUGUGGCGAGUCAACGUGGAAAGAUGUUCUUUAUUUACUUUGAUUGAUAUGGCAUUCCAAAUGUAUUUUCUUGACUGAGUUUAGGCUGUCUCGUAGUAUACAUGCUUGGAAGUUGCCUUGUGUUCCCAAUUCCGACUUGCUGACCAAAUUCAAAUUCAUUCCCUAGCCUCAAAGGAUCUGGAAGAGGUGACUAAUAUUCAGUUGGAUGUGGUUUUGAGCAGUGGUGGAGACUAGUCUUUUUUUAUUUUUAAUGUGUGUGUGUGUGUGUGUGU
rnacentral:misc_RNA from 1 species